GGCCACAUUAAUCAGGAAACAGGGUUAGAGAGAGCAACAUCUGUCGAAUGUUUACUAUGCCCUAGACAGCUAGGUGGGCACUGAAAAAGCUCGUCCUGUUUAC